rnacentral:lncRNA from 1 species
GAAUAACCUCGUGGUAUCGUUCUUUCUGCGGUGGAUUUCGAAGUGCCAGGUGCUUGAUGUGACACGAUUUUGCCAUUGGUGGAUUCAAUGAGAUGACAACCAUUUUCAAGUGGAAUGCUAUGAUGGUACAACGGACUAAUGGUAUGACGCCACAGACAUGAAUUUAUACCGAAGUGCCCUGAGCGCAUGCGUGGUGACCGGGUUUCCGAACGUCUACGACUACCUGCACCGUGACCGAGACAAAGACUUGGUAGAAAAGAAAAGAGCGAGAGCACAGAACAAUGCCGAAUAAACGUUUUCUCAAAAUAUUCACAAAACAUACAUUUGAAAAUUUAAUUAGAUCUAUAUAUUUUAAUCUAAAGCAUACCAUUCUAUAUUUAGGUGAAUAUCAGGGAUUUUUUUCUAAAUAAGUAAAGAAAUCAUUUUAAAUAUUUUCAUGUAUAUUAUGUUUUUCUAAUGAAUUAUUAUUGUUUAACUGGAAAAUUAUAGCAGAAGUAUUUUGUUUUUAAUGUAAUAAAGAUGAAACUUUAGUUGGACGAUUUUUUCCUCUGAAUCCAGACAAAUAAUUUAUAUUUCUAAAAUAUAUCUAAUGCACAGCAAAUUUUUGCACUCACCAGCUAUUAAAUUUCAAGUGUUUUAUACUUUUGUCAAUCCUUUUCUUAAAGAAAAAACACUUGAGAAGUAUGAACUGUUUGAGAAGUUAGUGAAAAGGAAGAAUAAACAAGUCUAUUUUUGAUAUCCAAUUAAUGAAACAAAUUGAACAGAUACUGUUUGAUCCAUGUUUUCCGUAAGGCGGUAUUUAUUGAUCUUCUGUUAAAAUAUAUGGAAAUGAAGUUUAAAAUAUAGUAAACACAAUUUAAAUUAUACGCCAUUCUAAAGAACUCCCAAGGAGGUAAGAGUUUCUUGUUUAGUCGCAGAAAGUCUCAAUCUGGAAUGGAUAGAACAAAUUAUUUCCAGUCGAUCCCUUGGUAAAAGUCAUAUAUUUACAUUCCUAGCAUCCAGUGUAGACCGAUACUUCCGGAAACAAUACUAAUGUAAUUAAUCACGUAGCACUGAAGUCUAGUCGGGAUAUCAGCCGCGACCGGGAAUCGAACCCAGAUCGCUUGCGUUGUAGUCCAACAUUGUACCCAAUGAGCCACUGACUUUUCAAAAUCUGUUGAUUGGUUUUGAAUAUUUUACUAGAAAAUUAUAUUGACAGUGUAUUUUCCUCUUUUAAUUUCAGCCAUUUUGAAGAAUAGCUUAACAUUUCAAUUUUGAUUCUAUUUGCUUUUUAUUGUUAGAACAGUUUCGGGAUUUCUUAGUUAGAAUAUAAAAGUAACAUUCACAAUUAACAGUUUGUAAAUUUUCGACAGAAACAAGUUUUAAAACAUUCUCGUAAACCAGAGUUUUGUAUGGGAAAAUACAUUUUUGGUCAUACAUAUCAACAUAUAAAUAGGACUCUACUGUUACGUUUGAAGAUAAGUUGAUCUGUCAAAAUGAAGUCGCAAUUCAUAAAAUCCUUGUUACAGAUUUUGCGGAUCAAACAGUGAGUACUUCACUGGUAUAAUUACCUCUUAGACUAGUAUUGUUAGUGAAACCGAAAUGCAUGUAUAAGGAAAUUUUUAAUGUAGUGUUUUGAAAGUACAUAGUUUAGAUAGAGUCUAUUAAAGUUUGAACUCCUUU